rnacentral:rRNA from 1 species
UAACAGGAUUAGAUACCCUGGUAGUCCACGCCGUAAACGAUGUCAACUAGCCGUUGGGAGCCUUGAGCUCUUAGUGGCGCAGCUAACGCAUUAAGUUGACCGCCUGGGGAGUACGGCCGCAAGGUUAAAACUCAAAUGAAUUGACGGGGGCCCGCACAAGCGGCGGAGCAUGUGGUUUAAUUCGAAGCAACGCGAAGAACCUUACCAGGCCUUGACAUCCAAUGAACUUUCUAGAGAUAGAUUGGUGCCUUCGGGAACAUUGAGACAGGUGCUGCAUGGCUGUCGUCAGCUCGUGUCGUGAGAUGUUGGGUUAAGUCCCGUAACGAGCGCAACCCUUGUCCUUAGUUACCAGCACGUAAUGGUGGGCACUCUAAGGAGACUGCCGGUGACAAACCGGAGGAAGGUGGGGAUGACGUCAAGUCAUCAUGGCCCCUACGGCCUGGGCUACACACGUGCUACAAUGGUCGGUACAGAGGGUUGCCAAGCCGCGAGGUGGAGCUAAUCCCACAAAACCGAUCGUAGUCCGGAUCGCAGUCUGCAACUCGACUGCGUGAAGUCGGAAUCGCUAGUAAUCGCGAAUCAGAAUGUCGCGGUGAAUACGUUCCCGGGCCUUGUACACACCGCCCGUCACACCAUGGGAGUGGGUUGCACCAGAAGUAGCUAGUCUAACCUUCGGGAGGACGGUUACCACGGUGUGAUUCAUGACUGGGGUGAAGUCGUAACAAGGUAACCA